ensembl:ncRNA B0495.16 ncRNA
GCCACUUGAACAUGUGUACAAUCUUAGAGGCUUCAUCUUCUCCAAAAGACAUGAUAACCUCUUGUUGCACACUGUUUGGCUAUCGAUUUUUUAGGCUGGUGAUAUUCA